rnacentral:tRNA from 1 species
GCGCCCAUGAUGUAACGGAAGCCUACCGCCUCGCCAUGGCGGACGCGCGGGUUCGACUCCCGCUGGGCGCU